AAAAGGUGGCAAUUUAUGCAUUUUUGGUUUCGGCCCAAAAAAAUGGGAAAAUCCCCAACCUUUUA
rnacentral:tRNA from 1 species